rnacentral:rRNA from 1 species
AUGGGCGCAGCCUGAUGCACCAUGCCGCGUGUGUGAAGAAGGCCUUCGGGUUGUAAAGCACUUUCAGUCGUGAGGAAGGUGGUGUAGUUAAUAGCUGCAUUAUUUGACGUUAGCGACAGAAGAAGCACCGGCUAACUCCGUGCCAGCAGCCGCGGUAAUACGGAGGGUGCGAGCGUUAAUCGGAAUUACUGGGCGUAAAGCGCAUGCAGGUGGUUUGUUAAGUCAGAUGUGAAAGCCCGGGGCUCAACCUCGGAAUAGCAUUUGAAACUGGCAGACUAGAGUACUGUAGAGGGGGGUAGAAUUUCAGGUGUAGCGGUGAAAUGCGUAGAGAUCUGAAGGAAUACCGGUGGCGAAGGCGGCCCCCUGGACAGAUACUGACACUCAGAUGCGAAAGCGUGGGGAGCAAACAGGAUUAGAUACCCUGGUAGUCCACGCCGUAAACGAUGUCUACUUGGAGGUUGUGGCCUUGAGCCGUGGCUUUCGGAGCUAACGCGUUAAGUAGACCGCCUGGGGAGUACGGUCGCAAGAUUAAAACUCAAAUGAAUUGACGGGGGCCCGCACAAGCGGUGGAGCAUGUGGUUUAAUUCGAUGCAACGCGAAGAACCUUACCUACUCUUGACAUCCAGAGAACUUUCCAGAGAUGGAUUGGUGCCUUCGGGAACUCUGAGACAGGUGCUGCAUGGCUGUCGUCAGCUCGUGUUGUGAAAUGUUGGGUUAAGUCCCGCAACGAGCGCAACCCUUAUCCUUGUUUGCCAGCGAGUAAUGUCGGGAACUCCAGGGAGACUGCCGGUGAUAAACCGGAGGAAGGUGGGGACGACGUCAAGUCAUCAUGGCCCUUACGAGUAGGGCUACACACGUGCUACAAUGGCGCAUACAGAGGGCAGCAAGCUAGCGAUAGUGAGCGAAUCCCAAAAAGUGCGUCGUAGUCCGGAUUGGAGUCUGCAACUCGACUCCAUGAAGUCGGAAUCGCUAGUAAUCGUGGAUCAGAAUGCCACGGUGAAUACGUUCCCGGGCCUUGUACACACCGCCCGUCACACCAUGGGAGUGGGCUGCAAAAGAAGUAGGUAGUUUAACCUUCGGGAGGACGCUUACCACUUUGUGGUUCAUGACUGGGUGAUCGU